GGAUUUCAGGAGUUUCAAGGACUUCAGCAGUUUCAAGGUUUCAACCGUUUCAAGGAUUUCAGGAGUUUCAAGGUUUCAACAGUUUCAAGGAUUUCAGGAGUUUCAAGGAUUUCAGGAGUUUCAAGGUUUCAACAGUUUCAAGGAUUUCAGGAGUUUCAAGGAUUUCAACAGUUUCAAGGAUUCAGGAGUUUCAAGGUUUCAACAGUUUAAGGAUUUCAGGAGUUUCAAGGUUUCAACAGUUUCAAGGAUUUCAACAGUUUCAAGGAUUUCAGGAGUUUCAAGGUUUCAACAGUUUCAAGGAUUUCAGGAGUUUCAAGGAUUUCAACAGUUUCAAGGAUUUCAGGAGUUUCAAGGUUUCAACAGCUUUAAGGAUUUCAGGAGUUUCAAGGUUUCAACAGUUUCAAGGAUUUCAGGAGUUUCAAGGACUUCAGCAGUUUCAAGAGUUUCAAGGAUUUCAGGAGUUUCAAGGAUUUCAACAGUUUCAAUGAUUUCAGGAGUUUCAAGGUUUCAACAGUUUCAAGGAUUUCAACAGUUUCAAGGAUUUCAGGAAUUUCAAGGCUUCAACAGCUUUAAGGAUUUCAGGAGUUUCAAGGUUUCAACAGUUUCAAGGAUUUCAGGAGUUUCAAGGUUUCAACAGUUUCAAGGAUUUCAGGAGUUUCAAGGUUUCAACAGUUUCAAGGUUUCAACAGUUUCAAGGAUUUCAACAGUUUCAAGGAUUUUAGGAGUUUCAAGGUUUCAACAGUGUCAAGGAUUUCAGGAGUUUCAAGGUUUCAACAGUUUCAAGGUUUCAACAGUUUCAAAGUUUCAACAGUUUCAAGGACUUCAGGAGUUUCAAAGAUUUCUGCAUUAGAUCUGUUCCGCAGUCAAUCGCAAUGGCGCAGCCAUUGCAACAGUUUCUAGUUAUUAUUAUUAUUAUUAUUUAUUUAUUUUUUCUUCUCUGU
rnacentral:lncRNA from 1 species